rnacentral:rRNA from 1 species
UACGUAGGGUGCGAGCGUUGUUCGGAAUUACUGGGCGUAAAGCGCGUGCAGGCGGCUCGUUAAGUCUGGUGUGAAAGCCCGGGGCUCACCCCCGGAAGUGCACUGGAUACUGGCGAGCUCGAGUCCCGGAGAGGAGGGUGGAAUUCCUGGUGUAGCGGUGAAAUGCGUAGAUAUCAGGAGGAACACCGGCGGCGAAGGCGGCCCUCUGGACGGUGACUGACGCUGAGACGCGAAAGCGUGGGGAGCAAACAGG